UACCAGCACCCCGAGUGGUCGGGACGAUUAUUGGGCCUAAAGCAUCCGUAGCCGGUUCUGCAAGUCCCCCGUUAAAUCCAGCUGCUCAACAGAUGGGCCGCGGAGGAUACUACAGAGCUAGGAGGCAGGAGAGGCAAGCGGUACUCAGUGGGUAGAGGUAAAAUCCGUUGAUCCAUUGAAGACCACCAGUGGCGAAGGCGGCUUGCCAGAAUGCGCUCGACGGUGAGGGAUGAAAGCUGGGGGAGCAAACCGG
rnacentral:rRNA from 1 species